rnacentral:rRNA from 1 species
CAGCAGCCGCGGUAAUACGGAGGGAGCUAGCGUUAUUCGGAAUUACUGGGCGUAAAGCGCACGUAGGCGGCUUUGUAAGUUAGAGGUGAAAGCCUGGAGCUCAACUCCAGAAUUGCCUUUAAGACUGCAUCGCUUGAAUCCAGGAGAGGUGAGUGGAAUUCCGAGUGUAGAGGUGAAAUUCGUAGAUAUUCGGAAGAACACCAGUGGCGAAGGCGGCUCACUGGACUGGUAUUGACGCUGAGGUGCGAAAGCGUGGGGAGCAAACAGGAUUAGAGACCCCGGUAGUCCCUGUCUCUUAUAC